UGGACUUUUGCUUGCACAAAUUGGGGAAUUCGCAUUUGUGCUCUUGAGUCGUGCCUCAAACCUGCAUAUUGUUCAGGGCAAGAUGUACCUUCUUCUUCUCGGAACAACUGCUCUAAGUCUUGUCACAACCCCUGUCUUGUUCAAGUUGAUACCUGCUAUCAUGCACCUGGGAGUUCUUAUGCACUGGUUUCCUGUGGAAAAUGUCGCACCAGAUGAGGAGAA
rnacentral:misc_RNA from 1 species